AUACGGAGGGUGCAAGCGUUGUCCGGAUUUAUUGGGUUUAAAGGGUGCGUAGGUGGUUUUUUAAGUCAGUGGUGAAAGCCUACAGCUUAACUGUAGAGGUGCCAUUGAAACUGGAAGACUUGAGUAUGGACGAGGUAGGCGGAAUUUGUGGUGUAGCGGUGAAAUGCAUAGAUACCACAAAGAACACCGAUAGCGAAGGCAGCUUACUAGGCCAUAACUGACACUGAGGCACGAAAGUGUGGGGAGCAAACAGGAUUAGAAACCCCAGUAGUCC
rnacentral:rRNA from 1 species